rnacentral:rRNA from 1 species
CAGUAGCCGCGGGAAUACGUAGGUGGCAAGCGUUGUCCGGAAUUAUUGGGCGUAAAGGGCUCGCAGGCGGUUUCUUAAGUCUGAUGUGAAAGCCCCCGGCUCAACCGGGGAGGGUCAUUGGAAACUGGGAAACUUGAGUGCAGAAGAGGAGAGUGGAAUUCCACGUGUAGCGGUGAAAUGCGUAGAGAUGUGGAGGAACACCAGUGGCGAAGGCGACUCUCUGGUCUGUAACUGACGCUGAGGAGCGAAGCGUGGGGAGCGAACAGGAUUAGAUACCCGAGUAGUCCCUGUCUCUUAUACA